UGAACAUGCACGUGUGGCCCACGCAUACUUGUAUUUCACAUUUUACAAUUACUCGAACAACUUUACUCCGUAGCCCGUACUUCCGUAGGGAAGAAGGAUCAAACUCACACAGUCAUCGGAAUGACUGAAUGAUGCUCUUUCUUCUGAUAAACAAAAGAUCAUGUAGAACCAUGAUAAUUUCUUAUGAACUCGAAGAUAACAUACGGAGUACUUAUUUAACAGUGGGGAAAUUGACUUUGCACAUAAACUGUUCGACGAAAUGCCGCACUGAAAGUCUGAAAUACGGAGUGCGAAUUUAUUUGAUCAAAUACCAGAUUAAAUGAACAUGUUGGUUGGGCUUAAUGCUUGCUACACAGAGGCGAUCAUGAUGGUUCUGUAUACAGAUAUUGAAGCAUGGACAAGAUCACUUUGUUGCAAAGUCAUCGGCGGGUGGAGGCCAUGGAUUGCAAAUGCACAUGUUGCUGGGUACUUUCACUGAUUCAUUCCACUAGAUUUUAAAAGAUGGUAUGUUCACUUCUCUCUUCUGGUUUAUACUAGGCUAUGACAAGAACUUCAGCUUUCUUACUGUUAAGAUCACCCAUAAGUACCAAACUUCUUAAUAGGUGUAUGUUUUUUCCGCAUUCACUCUUUUACCUGUAAUCUGCAUCAAAACUUCAUCAGUUUACCCUAUAUCAUGGCGAUUAUGCACCGCCAUUGCUUACUGAACAUUCUCAUGUUCUACUAUCAGGGUGUUGGGUAUAUGGUGCUACCGUGCUAGGGAAAUAGAUAAGUUGACAAUUGACAUAAAACCAUGAUUAUAUAAGUUACUCCAAAAUACAGGAUUAAGUUGGCUAAAACCUUUGAAAUUAUCAAUUGAUAACCAGUUUUAACUGUUAAAUUUCUGCUACCUCCAACUGCAAAUGAAACAAAGUUUAACUUUUUCCAUGUUAACUACCAAGUUGAUCAAUCAUUCAGUUAACCUGUUAUUUUGCUGGCACACAAUUCAGUGUAAGCAAUAGAAGGAGAGAUGGGAGCAAACUUGGCAUUAUUGAAAAUUAUGCAAAACAUUUGAUGGGCUUCAAAUGGGUAGUUAGUUAUAUAGGUUAAUGCUUAUUUAUUUUGACAAAACAUGAUAAUUGAGUAAUAAAUUUGAUAUCUUUAGAAUUGCAUAUUUUUGGAAGGUGAAGAUCUUAUCAUAUCAUGCCAUUGUCUAUGAUUUGCUCUAUAUAUGUAUCCUUGAGGAAUUUCUGGGUAGAUACAGAUUGCUGUUGAAUAAAUGCAGUAUUUUAUUCCAUAUUGGUUUAACCCAUAUCCUAAUAAUCAUUCUGCCUAAUGGUUGACUGUUUGUGUAUGAAUAUCAUAUUCUCAUGGAAUUAGAACAAUAAAAAGGGUCAAUGCUAUAGUAGUAUUUGCAUCGAUUUUAGCGAGAAAAUUAACUAAGAAAUGGCUAGCAGUUGUCGUCUUGUUACACUAGCAUUACUAGUUCAUGUCAUAGUUUGUUUUACUCUGAUCAAAGCUGCACCUCAAAGUUCACUAAUUACCAACUUACCAGGAUUCACUGGCAGCUUCCCUUCUAAGCACUACUCAGGGUAUGUGUCAAUAGGUGAACAUAAUGCGAAAAACAUGUUUUACUAUUUUGUGGAAUCCGAAAGAAAUCCUGCAAAGGAUCCUGUUGUUUUGUGGCUCAAUGGUGGACCUGGAUGCUCAAGCUUAGGUGCCUUCGUUUAUGAGCAUGGUCCAUUUAAUUUCGAAGCUUCCGGCCUAAUAAACUCUAGUGACUUGCCAAAGCUUCAUCUUAAUCCAAACAGCUGGUCUAAGGUGUCCAACAUUAUCUACUUAGACUCUCCUGUAGGUACUGGGUUUUCUUUCUCAUGGAAUUCAAGUGAUUAUGUAACUGGAGAUUUGAAGACUGCCUCUGACACACACAUUUUUCUGCUUAAAUGGUUUGAGAUGUUUCCGGAGCACCUUAACAACCCAUUUUUCAUUGCUGGAGAAUCAUAUGCUGGUAUCUUUAUACCAACUCUUGCAUCUGAAAUAAUGAAAGGACUUGAUUCUGGCUCAAGGCCUAUCAUCAACUUAAAGGGCUAUAUGAUAGGAAAUGGAGUCACUGAUAAAUACUUUGAUGGGAACGCUGCUGUUCCUUUUGCUCACGGGAUGGGGUUGAUCUCAGAUGAUCUGUAUCAGGAAAUUGUUGAUGUCUGUCAUGGAAGCUAUUUAACACCAUCAAGCGAAAAAUGUCAAAGCAAACUCAAUAAGUUCAAAGAUGUCAUCGAGAACUUGAAUCUUUAUAACAUCUUGGAACAGUGCUAUGAUUUCUAUUAUGAUGAAGAGUACCAAUGCUAUAACUGCAUUGGUGACGAAGAGCUUGAUACUGCUAAUAUGAAAUCGCCAGAAGCUUUGGCAAGUUCAGAUAAAACAAGAGAGCGUCUUCCUGUCCGGAGAAGUACAUUUACAGAUCAUAAACUUGGUUCGACUUUGUCACAAGUUAUCAGCAACACUAGUGUUUUAUGUCAUGAUGAUAUGGCUCCCUACCUGUGGCUUAACAACAAGGCAGUCAGGAAAGCAAUCCAUGCUGCAGAGGAACGCGAGACAGGAAGAUGGGAUACGUGUACAGACCGCAUUACAUAUCAUAGAGAUGUCGGCAGCGUGAUUGAUUAUCAUAAAAGGCUCAUUUCUAUUGGCCUGCGUGUGCUCAUAUACAGUGGAGACCAUGAUAUGGUGGUCCCGUAUACUGGGAGUGAAGCAUGGACACGAUCACUUGGUUACAAAAUCAUUGAUGAGUGGAGACCAUGGAUUUCAAAUGCGCAAGUUGCUGGGUUUACACAAGGUUAUGACAAGAACCUCACCUUUCUUACUAUCAAGGGCGCUGGGCAUAUGGUACCAGAAGACAAGCCUAGAGAAGCAUUGGAGUUUUAUAGCCGAUGGCUGGCAGGAGAGAGAAUUUGAGAGCGCCUUGGCUUAGCAGAAACAAGAAAGUCUGAGAUAUUGUUAGCAGACCAUUCUUUGAGCAUCGCCUCCAUGAAUGAUGAAGCAUCCGAAGAAGAAGCACCUUGGAUUUCAUUACAAUCAACCCCUGCAUUAUUCUCAUUAAUCAAUAAAAACUCUGUCAUCUCAUUCAUUUCCUGUUCUUGUGUCUGACUUUGUGCUGGUCUGAACUCCUCUUCUAGGAGAAAAUCAUGCCAACUGAAACAUUCAGGAGACUUAGACACUUUCCCUGCAUUAUUAUUAUUAUUAUUAUUAUUAUUAUUAUUA